CCUUCGGGUGGCAGCAGUGGGGAAUAUUGGGCAAUGGGCGAACGCCUGACCCAGCAACGCCGCGUGAAGGAAGAAGGCUUUCGGGUUGUAAACUUCUUUUAACAGGGAAGAGCAGAAGACGUUCUCUUUCGAAUAAGCCACGACUAACUACGUGCCAGCAGCCGCGGUAAUACGUAGGUGGCAAGCGUGGUCCGGAUGUACUGGGUGUAAAGGGCGUGUAUCCGGGCUGACAAGUCAGAUGUGAAAUCCUGGGGCUCAACCUCCGAACUGCAUUUGAAACGGUUGGUCUGGAGUAUGGGAGAGGAAGGCGGAAUUCCUAGUGUAGCGGUGAAAUGCGUAGAUAUUAGGAGGAACACCAGUGGCGAAGGCGAUUAGCUGGACAGCAACUGACGCUGAGGAGCGAAAGCGUGGGGAGCAAACAGGAUUAGAUACCCUUGUAGUC
rnacentral:rRNA from 1 species